rnacentral:rRNA from 1 species
UACAGAGGGUGCAAGCGUUAAUCGGAAUUACUGGGCGUAAAGCGCGCGUAGGCGGCUAAUUUAGUCGGGUGUGAAAGCCCCGGGCUCAACCUGGGAAUUGCAUUCGAGACUGCGUGGCUAGGGUGCGGAAGAGGGAAGCGGAAUUUCCGGUGUAGCGGUGAAAUGCGUAGAUAUCGGAAGGAACACCAGUGGCGAAAGCGGCUUCCUGGUCCAGCACCGACGUCAGGCACGAAAGCCGUGGGGAGCAAAC